rnacentral:rRNA from 1 species
GACGAACCGAGCGAACGUUGUUCGGAAUCACUGGGCUUAAAGGGCGCGUAGGCGGGUGCUCAAGUCCGGGGGGAAAUCCUCCAGCUCAACUGGAGAACUGCCUCGGAUACUGGGUGCCUCGAGGGUGGUAGGGGUAUGCGGAACUAUCGGUGGAGCGGUGAAAUGCGUUGAUAUCGAUAGGAACUCCGGUGGCGAAGGCGGCAUACUGGACCACUUCUGACGCUGAGGCGCGAAAGCCAGGGGAGCAAACGGG